UUUAUCAAAAUAUUGCGUGGCACAUUCAUUACUUUAAAUAUUCAAAGAAUAUGACUCAAAUCGUUAUAUACUCGAAGUCACACGGAAUUCAGCAUAACUUUUCUCAAGGUAAACAUUGUGCCGCAGUGUUAUUUGGAUUUGGAAUGUUACUGGAGCCAAAUAUUUAAUCAUUGACCGCUUUGGCUUGCUUACGUAUAGGUAGUUCCGCAUGCCGAAAUCACAA